rnacentral:snRNA from 1 species
AUACCUUUCUCGAUCUUUUGGAUAAGAUCAAGUGUAGUAUAUGUUAUCAGUUUAUGAUACUAUUAUCUGGCAUGUCAGCUAUGUGCGCCCACUUUGAUAUUAAAUUUAUUUUUUUGGGGAGGAUUCACCGUAGUGGCUUGCAACUAGGAGGACCCUCGUGUAUUGCUUGGGCAUUGCAUUGCUGCCCAUCUUAGCGCACCCCAA